GUCACCAAGGUGGGCCUUCCUGAUGCAAUUCAGUUCUAGAAUACUCAGGUUGAGUACAACAAUUUUCAAAGGACACUAGAAGAUUCAACAUGAAGAUUCAACACCUGAAGUGAGCCCCCUGGAAAGCUGGAAGUAACUUGGGACUUAAUCUUGUAUUGCUUCAGAACCUUCAGCAAAAGCAGAUACUGGAAGAGAGCAAAUGUAACCUCGCUAUUGAAGAAAGAAGGGAAAGAGAAAACUACAAAAGGCUUGUUAGCCUGAUGUCAAUAGCAAUGGAAAUGCUACUUUAUUGACAAGGUCAGUGUAGGAGAGCACUGUGAUUGAUGUGGAUCCCGGGUUUACAAACGCAAAAGAAAUAAACAUCCUUCGCCUUGAUGAACACGGUAAUAAGAGAUUUUAAAAGACACUACUGGCCGGCUCAGUGCAGACAAGCACUUUUUUGUUAUUUUAAAUAAGAAUAUUCU